UAAAUCGCAUAAUCUUAGGUUUGUUCGACUUGCUUAUACUUUUUACACUCACCAUCUUCGCUUUCUCUCUUUUCAGCGUCAAAUA